UACGAAGGGGGCUAGCGUUGUUCGGAAUCACUGGGCGUAAAGGGUGCGUAGGCGGAUUCUUAAGUCAGGGGUGAAAUCCCGAGGCUCAACCUCGGAACUGCCUUUGAUACUGGGGAUCUUGAGUCCGGAAGAGGUGAGUGGAACUGCGAGUGUAGAGGUGAAAAUUCGUAGAUAUUCGCAAAGAACACCGGUGGCGAAGGCGGCUCACUGGUCCGGAACUGACGCUGAGGCACGACAGCGUGGGGAGCAAACAGG
rnacentral:rRNA from 1 species